rnacentral:rRNA from 1 species
UGGGGAAUAUUGCGCAAUGGGGGGAACCCUGACGCAGCCAUGCCGCGUGAAUGAAGAAGGCCUUAGGGUUGUAAAGUUCUUUCGGUAUUGAGGAAGGUUGAUGUGUUAGUAGCACAUCAAAUUGACGUUAAAUACAGAAGAAGCACCGGCUAACUCCGUGCCAGCAGCCGCGGUAAUACGGAGGGUGCGAGCGUUAAUCGGAAUAACUGGGCGUAAAGGGCACGCAGGCGGUUAUUUAAGUGAGGUGUGAAAGCCCCGGGCUUAACCUGGGAAUUGCAUUUCAGACUGGGUAACUAGAGUACUUUAGGGAGGGGUAGAAUUCCACGUGUAGCGGUGAAAUGCGUAGAGAUGUGGAGGAAUACCGAAGGCGAAGGCAGCCCCUUGGGAAUGUACUGACGCUCACGUGCGAAAGCGUGGGGAGCAAACAGGAUUAGAUACCCUGGUAGUCCACGCUGUAAACGCUGUCGAUUUGGGGGUUGGGGUUUAACUCUGGCGCCCGUAGCUAACGUGAUAAAUCGACCGCCUGGGGAGUACGGCCGCAAGGUUA